CAGCAGCCGCGGGAAUACGUAGGUCCCGAGCGUUGUCCGGAUUUAUUGGGCGUAAAGCGAGCGCAGGCGGUUAGAUAAGUCUGAGGUUAAAGGCUGUGGCUUAACCAUAGUACGCUUUGGAAACUGUUUAACUUGAGUGCAAGAGGGGAGAGUGGAAUUCCAUGUGUAGCGGUGAAAUGCGUAGACAUAUGGAGGAACACCGGUGGCGAGAGCGGCUCUCUGGCUUGCAACUGACGCUGAGGCUCGAAAGCGUGGGGAGCAAACAGGAUUAGAUACCCGCGUAGUCCCUGUCUCUUAUACA
rnacentral:rRNA from 1 species